CACAUCAGUGCGAGUUGCUGAUGUGGCAGUAAAUCGCACCCCCAAGGACGCGAUUUGCUGCCACGUCAGCAACUCGCGCUGAUGUGG
rfam:Gossypium raimondii Chr06_contig_689, whole genome shotgun sequence.